rnacentral:rRNA from 1 species
GAUGAACGCUGGCGGCGUGCCUAACACAUGCAAGUCGAACGGAGUCCAGCCUUUAAGACCUUCGGGUUAAAGAGGGGAAGACUGAGUGGCGGACGGGUGAGUAACACGUGGGCAACCUGGCUCAUAGAGGGGGAUAACAGAGAGAAAUUUCUGCUAAUACCGCAUAAGCACACACUGCCGCAUGGCAGAGGGUGAAAAGAGAAUCGCUAUGAGAUGGACCCGCGUCUGAUUAGCCAGUUGGCAGGGUAAGAGCCUACCAAAGCGACGAUCAGUAGCCGAUCUGAGAGGAUGAACGGCCACAUUGGGACUGAGACACGGCCCAAACUCCUACGGGAGGCAGCAGUGGGGGAUAUUGCACAAUGGGGGGAACCCUGAUGCAGCGACGCCGCGUGAGUGAAGAAGUAUUUCGGUAUGUAAAGCUCUAUCAGCAGGGAAGAUAAUGACAGUACCUGAAUAAGAAGCCCCGGCUAACUACGUG